CCUACGGGAGGCAGCAGUGAGGAAUAUUGGUCAAUGGACGAGAGUCUGAACCAGCGAAGUAGCGUGAAGGAUGACUGCCCUAUGGGUUGUAAACUUCUUUUAUAAAGGAAUAAAACGAGGCACGUGUGCCUUUUUGCAUGUACUGUAUGAAUAAGGAUCGGCUAACUCCGUGCCAGCCGCCGCGGUAAUACGGAGGAGCCGAGCGUUAUGCGGAUUUAUUGGGUUUAAAGGGAGCGUAGAUGGGUUGUUAAGUCAGUUGUGAAAGUUUGCGGCUCAACCGUAAAAUUGCAAUUGAUACUGGCAGUCUUGAGUACAGGUGAGGUAAGCGGAAUUCGUGGUGUAGCGGUGAAAUGCUUAGAUAUCACGAAGAACCCCGAUUGCGAAGGCAGCUUACUAAACUGUGACUGACAUUGAUGCUCGAAAGUGUGGGUAUCAAACAGGAUUAGAUACCCCAGUAGUC
rnacentral:rRNA from 1 species